ACGUAGGGGGCUAGCGUUGUUCGGAUUUACUGGGCGUAAAGAGCGCGCAGGCGGUUUGGUAAGUUAGGAGUGAAAGCCCAAGGCUCAACCUUGGAACUGCUCUUAAAACUGCCAUUCUAGAGUUCGGUAGGGGAUGAUGGAAUUCCUAGUGUAGAGGUGAAAUUCUUAGAUAUUAGGAGGAACACCGGUGGCGAAGGCGGUCAUCUGGCCCGAUACUGACGCUGAGGCGCGAAAGCGUGGGGAGCAAACAGG
rnacentral:rRNA from 1 species